rnacentral:rRNA from 1 species
CCUACGGGAGGCAGCAGUGAGGCAUAUUGGUCAGUGGCCGGAAGGCUUAACCAGCCAAGUCGCGUGAGGGACGACUGCCCUAUGGGUUGUAAACCUCUUUUAUAAGGGAAGAAUAAAUGCUACGUGUAGCAUGAUGCCUGUACCUUAUGAAUAAGCAUCGGCUAACUCCGUGCCAGCAGCCGCGGUAAUACGGAGGAUGCGAGCGUUAUCCUGAUUUAUUGGGUUUAAAGGGUACGUAGGCGGUUUGUUAAGUUAGUGGUUAAACGUCGGGGCUUCACCUUGAUUUGCCAGUAAUACUGUAAGACUCGAGUUCAGACGAGGUAGGCGGAAUAAGUUAAGUAGCGGUGAAAUGCUUAGAUAUAACUUAGAACUCCGAUAGCGAAGGCAGCUUACCAGACUGCGACUGACGCUGAAGCACGAGAGCGUGGGUAGCGAACAGGAUUAGAUACCCUGGUAGUC